rnacentral:rRNA from 1 species
GUGGGGAAUCUUAGACAAUGGGGGAAACCCUGAUCUAGCCAUGCCGCGUGAGCGAUGAAGGCCUUAGGGUUGUAAAGCUCUUUCAGCUGGGAAGAUAAUGACGGUACCAGCAGAAGAAGCCCCGGCUAACUCCGUGCCAGCAGCCGCGGUAAUACGGAGGGGGCUAGCGUUGUUCGGAAUUACUGGGCGUAAAGCGCGCGUAGGCGGACCAGAAAGUUGGAGGUGAAAUCCCAGGGCUCAACCUUGGAACUGCCUUCAAAACUGCUGGUCUGGAGUUCGAGAGAGGUGAGUGGAAUUCCGAGUGUAGAGGUGAAAUUCGUAGAUAUUCGGAGGAACACCAGUGGCGAAGGCGGCUCACUGGCUCGAUACUGACGCUGAGGUGCGAAAGCGUGGGGAGCAAACAGGAUUAGAUACCCGGGUAGUCC